rnacentral:lncRNA from 1 species
UCAAAACCUAGUGUUGAUUUUCCCAAAAUCUCGUCGAUUAGAGUGUAGAUACUGGAGAUCGUUGGCUUCUCCUGUAGGUUCUUCUUGUUUUCUUCAAAUUCUUGUCGAUCUUGAAGUGUAAAAAAUAUUUGUGGACGUUUUUCUUGUUUACUGAUUUCAGCUCAAAGAAAUGGCUUUUGAGCUCGUUACACUGAGGAUGUUCCAUGGAAGUCAAUUACAACAGUAUCAUAUCAACUACGAAUGAGGUAUUAUGAUAGAGUACUUUGAUAUUGAUGUUACAGAUUUUUGUAUUUUGAGGAUGUUGAGAUGGAUGUGCGUGCACGCUAGGUUAGAUAGGAUCAGAAAUGAGGCUAUUCGCGACAAAAUAGGUGUAGCCCCUAAUAAGGACACAAUGCGGGGAUCGCGCUUAUAUGGUUUGGUCAUGCGAAGAGGAGGAACACAAACCGCCCUAUUAAGAUGUGUGAGAGGUUGACAUUGGAGGGCCUACGGAGAGGUAGAGGUAAGCCAAAGAAGAGGUGGGGAGAGGUGAUUAGGCAAGACAUGUCGCAACUUCAGCCGACCGGGGACAUGACCCAUGAUAGGAAGGUAUUGAGGUCCAGGAUUAGGAUAUUAGAAUCAGUAGUCUAGAGUAUUCCUAACAGUAGUAUUGGCACGUAGUCUUGCUUUCUGUUGGUAGUAGGUUUUUAUGGCUAACCGUUAUUUUCUUUCAUGGUUGAUCACUUUACUAUCUUGUUGUUUUUAUUUGUUUUUGUAUGAUUUUUUGGUAUUGUUCCUUCUUAUCUAUAUUUUCAUUAAUAGGUUGCUUGUACUUUCCUGAGCCGAGGAUUUAUUGGAAAUAACCUAUCUAUCCUCACAAGGUAGGGGUAAGUUUUGCGUACAUACUACCUCUCUCAGAUUCCACGAUGUAGGAUAAUACUGGGUAUGUUCUUAUUAUUGUUGUUGUAGACUAUGUGAUAGAAAAUGGUAUAAUUGUAAAACAUAUGACAUUUAUGUGAGACCACCCAAUUCUAGCACUUUGGUAAAAAAUUUAACUGAUGAUGAUAUUAUGGGUAUUGUACCUCUAUUGAAAAUUGGGAUAUAUUUGAAGUGAAUGUGUCCCACUAUGUUGAUGAAUCAUUAGUGGUCCCUCCAGCUAUUGAAUAUGUAAGCCAUGUGUGUGAGGAAUUUAGUGUAUCUUUUGAUAAAGGCAUAAAUCAAAGUGUUGGGGGCAAUAAAGGUUUAGGGUUUGAAGAACCACAAACUAGUUUCUGAUAAUAUGCUUGAUGGAGAUGAGGGUGGUCCUUCUAAUCUUGAUGAUACUCUAUUAGUUGAAAUUGAUGUAGAAAGUAGUGACAAUAGUACAUAUUCAGAAAUUGAAGAGCUGUUUAAGGAAGGGGAAGAAGAAUAUGGUAGAGAUGUUGAUAAGGAGUAUAGGAGUUUAAGAGAAGAGAGGAAAAAGGUGAAGAGCAGGAAGAAAAAAGAGAAAGAGGUUGAAAUUAGACAUGCCAGUUAGGUAAAAAGAGUUCAUAUGUAAGAUAUGAUGAGUAUGCAGCUAGGAAGACGACAUCUUUAGAGGGUAAGAUUGUUGGAGAUGAGCUAUAUUAUCCCUCAAAUGAAGCUGCUAGUUUUGAAACUGAUCCUAAUGAAACUGCUUAUGAUGAAGGUGAAGAUGAAAUCCAACAUCUAGUAAGAGCAAGAAGAAAACAACAAAAUAUGGUUAUCUUUGAUCCUAUUUAUAAGUUAAUUGUUUAGGAAACUGGGUGUUCUUUUGAGAGCGUUAGACAAUAUAAAGAAGCACUACUAAGUAAGCACUUGAUGAACAUGUAAAGUUAGAUAAGUAUAUUAAUGAACCAACAAGGUAAGAGUAAAGUGUUGUGUUAGCUGUCCAUGGCUCUUGGUUGCUAGUUAUGAUUCUAGGACAAAAUAUUUUGUGGUGAAAAACUAUAAUCCACUUCACAAGUACAAUGGUAGUACCAAGAACAAACUGUGCAACUCAAAAUACUUAGCAGAAAGAUACAAGGACAGAAUAAUUUUUGAACCAAAUAUUAGAAUCUUUAAGUUCCAGGAGUUAGUUCAAAAGGAGUUAAAACUAUAAAUUAGAAGGAUUAUUGAAAGGAAAACCAAUAAUAUUAUGUUAACACAGAUUAUGAGAGACUAUGUUAAGGAGUUUGGUAAAAUUCUAGACUAUAGAUAUGAGCUGCUAAGGACUAAUUCAGGCAGCACGUGUGCUGCUAGAUUUAGUAAAGAAACACAUGAAGAUGGAAAGAAAAUAUUUGUAGCAUUUUAUAUUUUCUUUGAUGCAUUGAAGAAGGCAUUCCUUGAUAGUUGUAAGAGGUUUAUUGGAUUGGAUGGUUGUUUUUCGAAAGGUGUAUGUAAAGGGCAAUUACUUGUGGUUGUUUGUAAGGAUGGAAAUAAUCAUAUGUUACCACUGGCUUGGGUAGUAGUUGAAGUUGAAGCAUAUCUAAUUAGAGAUGGAUUGUGAAUAUUUCAAAGAAUAAUCUUGAGCUUGGAGAUGGGACAAAGUUGACUAUUAUUAUUGAUAUACAGAAGGUACUUAUAUUCUAUUAAAUGUGUUGUUCAAAUCUGCUAAUCUGUUUAUUUUUUAACUGUUUAUCUUUUAACUGUUCAUCUUUUAUAUGUUGUAGGGACUUGACAAAGCAAUAGUGAGAUCAUCCCACAGCCAGAACAUAGAAUGUGGGUCAAGCACAUCAUAGCAAACUGGUUAAAAAGAUGAAGGGGAAUUGAGAGAAGGAACUAUUUUCGGAGAUGUGCUAGGUCAACUUAUAAACAAGAGUUAAAGAAACUAGGGGAUAAAAUAGUUGAGGACAUGCUAUACUAUAACAAAGAGAGGUGGUACAAGGUAUAUUUCAAGUAUUUCAGCAAUUGUGACAGUGUUGACAACAAUAUGGCUGAAACUUUAAUUUUUGGAUAUUAGGGCCAAUGCACAAGACAAUCAUCAUAAUGCUAGAAGAGCGCAUGGAUGAUGAUAAGAAUAGCAAAAAUGAGGGAUUCCUGUGAUACUUGGAUCAGUGACAUUUCUCCAAUGAGACCAUAGGUGUUGUAGGAGAACACAACAAAAUCAAUUAAAUGUGUGGUGCACUAGAAUGGUUAAUAUGGUUAUAAAGUGAAGGGAGGACAUACCAGUAAGCAUAUAGUGAAUCUGAACAGGAUAACCUGCACCGAUAGAGCUUCUAUGUUGAAUGGUAUACCAUGUGCUCAUGAUGUAGCUGAUAUCCAUUUCAAAAAAUUGGAGUAUUGCAAAUUGGUACCAUAGGAAGACUUAUAUAAAGACCUACAGUCGCUUCCUUCAGCCUGCACAAAAUAUGGAGAUGUAGCCAUAAUCACAAAACUCUUCAGUUAUACCAUCAAAAGUAAGAGUACAUGGCAAGCCCAAAAAAGAGAGAAGGAAGGAACCGACUGAAAACAAAAUAGGAAAGCUUUUCAAAAGAGGUACUCAAAUGAUAUGCAACCAUUGUCAUGCUAAAGGCCAUAACAAGAAAGGUUGUCUGAAGACUGCAUAAGGUACUGCAAGGUCAACUGGUAGUACAAAGUCAUCAAGUGUUGGUUCUUUAUCAACACCUUCAGUUUAAUGUAUACCAAAAAGAGGAAGAGGAAGAGGAAGAGGAAGAGGAAGAGGAAGAGGAAGAGGAAGAGGAAGAGGAAGGCCGAUAGGCUCAACAAAACAGGUAAUUACUCCGAAGUUACUUACAGGUGUGCCCUUUGCCCUGAAGGAACUCACAUCCUUCUCUCGUGACUUCAGGCGCCCAAGUUUGCGCCAUUCAUCCGGUGCAUAUAGACUACACUUUUGUAGGUCUUUUUUAUGUUUAACUUCUUAAUAAUUUGUACUUUUAUUGGAUAUUGCUACUUGUAUAGGCAUAGGGACUACCUAUAAAAGGCGCAGAAUAGUUGGUAUGAGAAUUCUACUAACAGAAAGUAUAGCUUCCAUUUAUAAUGUAAGCAUAUAAUAUCAAUUGUUACUAUGAACUCCUUUUGAUCAAAAUUGGAUGUAAACUAACUAAGUUUGUGUAUAUGAAUAUAGCCUGAAAUGUCAAUUGUGCCUAUGAACUCUGCAGUAGUGACCGGAGAUAUUGGAUACAAACCAAGAACAUGGGUGAAAUGGAAAAGUAAAAAAGCUAUCACCUCAAGGAAUCUUCAACACAUUCAAACUAAGAAAAAAAUGGAGACAAGGUUAAAGGCAUCUCAAAGAGUUCGUUUGAGCCAAACAAUUUCAUCAGCUCCACAAUCAACUGCCUAGUAGAUAUUAGUAUUUUAGUAUUUUUGUUUGACUUUUGGCAGUUGAUAUAUGUAAAGACAAUAGGAAUUUCUGUUUUGGUAUGUAACUACAUUCAACAAUGACUAAACGUUUCUAAGUCUAUGGUAUUAUGUGCAAAAAUGACUGUUGAUUUGUAGGUAUGUUUAACUGGAAAUGAUAUGCAGCAAUAACUUUUGAUAAGAUAGUUUCUGUGCUUUAUUUUUUAAAUCUGUUUUUCUACAAUAUGUAGCAGUUACUUCAGAUUUGUAGGUCUGUUUACAAGAAAUGAUAUGCAGCAAUGAC